rnacentral:rRNA from 1 species
UACGUAGGGGCCGAGCGUUGUCCGGAGUUAUUGGGCGUAAAGCGCGCGCAGGCGGCCUUGCGCGCCCGACGUGAAAGCCCCCGGCUUAACCGGGGAGGGUCGUUGGGGACGGCGGGGCUUGAGGGCGGGAGAGGGUGGUGGAAUUCCCGGUGUAGUGGUGAAAUGCGUAGAGAUCGGGAGGAACACCCGUGGCGAAGGCGGCCACCUGGGCCGACCCUGACGCUGAGGCGCGAAGGCGUGGGGAGCGAACGGG